AUUGAACGCUGGCGGCAGGCCUAACACAUGCAAGUCGAGCGGAUGAGAGGAGCUUGCUUCUCGAUUCAGCGGCGGACGGGUGAGUAAUGCCUAGGAAUCUGCCUGGUAGUGGGGGACAACGUUUCGAAAGGAACGCUAAUACCGCAUACGUCCUACGGGAGAAAGCAGGGGACCUUCGGGCCUUGCGCUAUCAGAUGAGCCUAGGUCGGAUUAGCUAGUUGGUGAGGUAAUGGCUCACCAAGGCGACGAUCCGUAACUGGUCUGAGAGGAUGAGCAGUCACACUGGAACUGAGACACGGUCCAGACUCCUACGGGAGGGAGCAGUGGGGAAUAUUGGACAAUGGGCGAAAGCCUGAUCCAGCCAUGGCGCGUGUGUGAAGAAGGUCUUCGGAUUGUAAAGCACUUUAAGUUGGGAGGAAGGGUUGUAGAUUAAUACUCUGCAAUUUUGACGUUACCGACAGAAUAAGCACCGGCUAACUCUGUGCCAGCCGCCGCCGUAAGAC
rnacentral:rRNA from 1 species